CCCAGGAACUACUAAUGUGGUACAGCCGGGACGCAAAGCUUUGGCGAAAAGCAAACACAUUGCCUCCCCUCCAGAACUGCAGGUUCUGGAGGGGAGGCAAUAUGUUUGCUUUUCGCCAGUGCUUUGCGUCCCGGCUGUACCACAUUAGUAGUUCCUCGCC